rnacentral:rRNA from 1 species
GAUGAACGCUGGCGGCGUGCCUAAUACAUGCAAGUCGAGUGAACAGAUAAGGAGCUUGCUCCUUUGAAGUUAGCGGCGGACGGGUGAGUAACACGUGGGUAACCUACCUAUAAGACUGGGAUAACUUCGGGAAACCGGAGCUAAUACCGGAUAACAUUUAGAACCGCAUGGUUCUAAAGUGAAAGAUGGUUUUGCUAUCACUUAUAGAUGGACCCGCGCCGUAUUAGCUAGUUGGUAAGGUAACGGCUUACCAAGGCGACGAUACGUAGCCGACCUGAGAGGGUGAUCGGCCACACUGGAACUGAGACACGGUCCAGACUCCUACGGGAGGCAGCAGUAGGGAAUCUUCCGCAAUGGGCGAAAGCCUGACGGAGCAACGCCGCGUGAGUGAUGAAGGGUUUCGGCUCGUAAAACUCUGUUAUUAGGGAAGAACAAAUGUGUAAGUAACUGUGCACAUCUUGACGGUACCUAAUCAGAAAGCCACGGCUAACUACGUG